GGGAGAUGGGCGCCUUCCACUGGCCUUUAACGAGAAGGGCAAGGGCCCUGUACACAAAGCCUUCUUCGCUAAUUUCAUUUGUGCACAAAGCAAAGCCCUUCUCCUUUUCCUCCCCCUAGGGUUGGGACUGAAUUUACUCUGGGUCUUGAAGUGUGGAAAAAGUAAACACUGCUCUAUUUGGAUUCCACUCACUGGUUUCUCCUGAGCCCAACAGAGCAGAGCCUGAGAGCAACCCCACGAGAAAACCACGAUCCCGGGUAACGCCAGGAGUUCCAGACAGUGCGAGCAGAGCAGCAAAGCAAGGCAAAAACCCCUGAGGUGGGAAAGAAAUGAGAAGGAGAAACACUGGGCUUAUUCUUAAUCGCUUUGCAUUUCCACAGAAAGCACUGUCAGCCCACAGAAGCUUCGGGAACCAUAGCACCCCCACCCCCACUCACCGGCGUGGCUAGGCCUGGCCAUGUCUGUCACCAAAUCUGUCCUGCCCCUGCGACUCACUGGGUACCAUGUGAGCCAAGCCUGCACCAGUGUGAGGACGGAACUGCUGUGUCUGUGCGACCAAGUGGGUGCUUAAGAAGGACUCCUCGAGGCAAGACUUAUUUUUUCUUAGGAGACGGCCUGGCUUUGUGGUCCAGGCUGGCCUUGAACUUGCUAUGUAGCCAAGGCUGGCCUCCAACACACAAUGAUCCUCCUGCCUCAGCCUCCCCAGUGCUGGGAUUACAGGGAUGUGGCACCACAUCCAGCCGAAGCAAGAGUUCAAAAUUAAAGCAUCCUGUGCCCCCAGAUGUCUGGCUCUGCCUUGCUGUCCCAGGCCAGCAGCCUCUAGUGGGGCACGAGGGGCCAUGGGGCCACAGCUCAACUCCCAGACACCCUCUCUGGGCUCAGACUCUUGAGCGAAGGGACAGCAAAGUGUGUGAGCCCGCCCGGAUCUGGCCAUCAGCUGACGCUGCUCCCCAGAGUGGGGGGAGCAGCCCCCCCCACCCCCGGCCGGAUGCUCAGUUUCCCUUCCACUGAAGUCUGUUUCCCCGGGCAUGGUGGCGCACGCCUGAAACCCAAGCACUCUGGGAGGCUGAGGCAGGAGGAUCGCAAGUUUGUGCCCGACCUGAGAAACAGCAACUUAGUGAGACUCUGUCUCAAGAUAAAAAAUCAGGAGGCUGUAGCUCAGCGGGGGGACCUGGGUUCAAUCCCCCAGUGCUGAAAAAAACCUGUUUCUAGUUAAAAGUAGCCAGAGCUAAUUUCUCCCAUUUGUAGCUGAAAAAUCCCAAAGGACGCGGCUCACAGCAACCCGUCAGCACGCGGGUGUGCGUGGACUCGCACGUGCACGUCGCGGGGGCACAGCGCUGUCUCGUCCGCAGGCGACUCACUCACGAGCGUGCGCAGUCUGACCCCGGAUUCCCUCUCCACAUCCGGCCACGAGCUGAUGAGAAACCGGGAGGGCCAGUGCACUGCGUGAGCGCGAGUGUGAGAGCGUGCAGCCUGGGGAAAAAUCCUGCCGACUCGCCACGCUGUUGGAGCGCACGCCCGCUCUACCAGGGGCGCGGGCCUUGCCGUCAGCGUCCUCUGCAGGCGCAGCCACCCCAAGCUUCCGCCGACCCUGACCCCAGCCCCAGCCCUCAACCCACGACCCGAGGCCACAGAGGCCCACAGGGUGAGCCCGUCUAACCCGGGCACCCAGGCUUUCACGCUGGAGGAGUGGCCGGGGAGGGGAGGGAGAGAGACAGAGGGAGGGAGAGACAGAGGGACAGAGAGAGACAGAGACAGAGAGACAGAGACAGGGAGAGAGACGAGAGAGAGACAGAGAGACAGAGGGAGAGAGAGAGGCCAUCUCCCCUCCCCUCUCCCCCACUCCCUCCGACAGUGCAGAGCAGGCUGCUGCCCAGCAGGAAGGAAAAGGCCACCAUCAGGGCAAGGCAAGUGUUGUGGGCACAGCGGCCCUGUGUUGCUUGCCUGUCUGCACACGGAGUCACCUGCCCGCUCCUCGGAUUUCUGCAGCUCCCCUGCGGCUCUGUCUGUGGCCCAGGCCCUGCUGGCGUGGAGUUUGUCCGACCCUCUGCGAGUGAGGCCCGGCACAGAUGGACGUUGCUCUCUGCUGUCCCUAGAACCCGGUGUCCCUCGCCUUUAGUCCACAGCAGGUGCUGUCUGCCGGCCCUGGCUCCCGCUUUGGCACCGAGUCCCCCUGGAGGCGAGGCGGGUUCUGCUUGUGUCGCAGGUGGGCACCCUGAGGACACUCGGGGUGUUUGUCACCCAGCUGGUGGUGCCUCUUGGUGGCCUCGAGUCCCACGCAAGGGAGCUUUGGCUUGCAGGUCCCUGAACCCGGGACACCUGGCCACCAGACCCGGACCUGCACGCCCUUCUGGGGACCCUGCAGGGCCAGGGAGGCGCAAGGCACAGCACCCAAGACCACGCCCUUCCCCGGGGGGGGGGGUCACAGUGCUGGGAGCUCCUGGAUCCCCAGAAAUUCUCAUGAAACCAGCCAUGGACGGAGCUCGCCUGCCCCACACAACAGCACACAGCACACUGGCUUUUUGUGUUUGUUUUUAGUGGUUUUCUGAGACAGGGCCUCGCUCUGUAGCCCAGGCUGGCCUCAGACUCAUGGUCAUCCUCCUGCCUCAGGCUCCUGUGGCACCACCAUGUCACUGGCGGUUUUUGAGUGCCUCACCUGAUUUGAAAAUUUGGAGCGAUAACCCAGACGUGCUUGUUCAGGCUUCCUAUUUUCCUUCGAUCUCUUGAACAGAAUCUGCCUGCAGAGCUGUCUUCUGGAGGUCUCUCUGUGGCCCGGGCCUGGGGGACUGCACUCUGCGGCCGUCCCAGGCCCAGUGGGGUCCGCACACCACGUCACAGUGACCCCUGCCCCUCCACCCCUCCCCGCCCCCGGGGAGGUGACACCCUGACCGCCUCUUUCUCACCUCGUUUAGGAGCUGGCUUGGACCACAGUGGGGCUUCUCAGGGUCUUCCCUGGGGCCACCCCAAGAAACUGCUCUGAUUGUGGGGGCCCUGUGCCCGCAGACCGUGCUGUGGAGGGGAAGUGUCCUUGGCUGCAUUCACCCCCGCCCUCUGGGAAAGGUUUCAGUGCCCUGGCAUCAAAUUUAUAACCAUGUUGUAUGUGACCCAUUGUCCUUGUCUCACCGGGGGUUGAACCCAGGGCCUUCACGCUGAGCUACACCCCACCCUUUUCUCAUUUUGUAUUUGGAGACAGGUCUCACUGAGUUGCCCCAGCGGGGCUUGAUCCUCCUGCCUCAGCGUCCGGAGCGUGGGUUUUUUGGGUGUGCACCACCACGCCCUGCUCAGCACUGCGGGUUUGCAGCAACUUUACUUGGUUCCCACAUAAAAGCAAACUCUUGUCUGUCCUCGUUUUCCAGUGUGGUAAGGUUUUCAUCCUGUGUCACUCCAUUUAUCCUCGUUCUUGACUUGACUUCCAGUGACAGUUAACUAAUUAGUGCUCUUCAGACGCUGCCUCUCUCUACAGAACACAGAACAACAGUCUUCCUCUCCAUGGAGCAAGAGGAUCUCUUGCGAUUCUUGGGACCCUACUUUCCUCCUGUUAAUGAUAAAGACCUAGGCGCAGAAAAAACACAAGGGAAAAGCAGCAGAGGCGUGGUCACCCUUGGUGGCGGCUCCCAGCGGGAUGAUGGGGGACCCAGCCCCUCAGAGACUCUACCUUGUUGGUCACCCUGAGGGUCCAGGGCUGAGAGACCUUUUAACUUUUUAAUAAAGAAGAUGAAUUCAAGUUUUUCCAUGAAAAUUUCCUUUAAAAACACUGCUUUAACUUUUAAAAGAAACUCAAGCCUAGUGACCGAAUACACUCUUGGGGACAGAACUCUCCAUCUCCCGGGCCCACGAGGGCUGCCAGUGCGCCUGUGAUCAGGGAC
rnacentral:lncRNA from 1 species